GACGAACGCUGGCGGCGUGCUUAACACAUGCAAGUCGAACGAAGUGGCGAACGGGUGAGUAACGCGUAAUCAACCUGCCCUUCAGAGGGGGACAACAGGUGGAAACGACUGCUAAGACCGCAUACUGAAGGAGGGGAUUGAGUCUGAUUAGAUAGUGGGCGGGGUAACGGCCCACCAAGGCGAUGAUCAGUAGCCGGUCUGAGAGGAUGGACGGCCACAUUGGGACUGGUACCCCGCCCAGACUCCUACGGGAGGCAGCAGUGGGGAAACCUUCGCAAUGGACGAAAGUCUGACGGAGCAACUCCGCGUGAGUGAUGACGGCCUUCGGGUUGUAAAGCUCUGUUAAUCGGGACGCGGUACCGGCAUAGAAAGCCACGGCUAACUACGUGCCAGCAGCCGCGGUAAUAC
rnacentral:rRNA from 1 species